UACGUAGGGUGCAAGCGUUAAUCGGAAUUACUGGGCGUAAAGCGUGCGCAGGCGGUUGGGUAAGCAAGAUGUGAAAUCCCCGAGCUCAACUUGGGAACUGCAUUUUGAACUGCCCGGCUAGAGUACGUCAGAGGGAGGUGGAAUUCCACGUGUAGCAGUGAAAUGCGUAGAGAUGUGGAGGAACACCGAUGGCGAAGGCAGCCUCCUGGGACUGUACUGACGCUCAUGCACGAAAGCGUGGGGAGCAAACAGG
rnacentral:rRNA from 1 species